AGCAGAUGUGGGCUCUGUAGAUAAGGACUGGCAGGAAAGUUGUUUACUGAAACUAAAACAGGGAGGCACAAAGGAUAAGGAAGUUAGUUUGGCUUUGGAAGUAGGGAACAAAGAACAAGGACACUGAACAAGCUAAAUCUUUGAAGAGGAACUUCUUUUGUAUCUGACAAAGGUCUUCAAGGAAGAAGGGAGAGAGUGACCUUUCUAGGUUUUAUGGUUGAUGCUGGUGGAGAGGAGUUCUAGUUUCUAAGAUUUACCUUGAGGAAGAAGAACUGUAGUUUCUGUGGCUUGCAGACAAGCAAAGCAAAGCUGAUAAGCAUCAUUAGCAUCCAUUUUAAAUUUAAGCAAACUGAACUCCAAGAGGUUAAGAAACUUGCUCCAAGUGACACAGCUGCUCAACAAAGCUUCAGAAUAUCAGAGGGGGUCAAGUUCCUCAUGUUUGAUUUCUAAAUGUGACUCAUGGGUUUGGCCAUAAACAACAGGCCCACCCGCAGAAGGGAGCUACCCACUGUGAGUCUCUUCUCCACUGAGAGCUGGACACUCAUUAGGACGACCUGCCUUUGGAAAGAACUACCCACUUUGGGUCUCCCGAGAACUGUUCUGUCACUCAAUAAAUCUCUCCACCUUGU
rnacentral:lncRNA from 1 species